rnacentral:rRNA from 1 species
GACGAACGCUGGCGGCGUGGAUUAGGCAAGCAAGUCGAGCGAAUCCCAGCAAUGGGGGAAGCGGCGAAAGGGGCUGUAAGGCAUGGGUAACCUACCCUGGGGACUGGGAUAGCCCUUCGAGAGAAGGGGUAAUACCGGGCGACGUGCCGGAGAGGCAUCUCUUUGUCACCAAAUGAAUUUCGCCCUGGGAGGGGCCCAUGUGAUAUUAGCUAGUUGGUGAGGUAACGGCUCACCAAGGCGAAGAUGUCUAGCGGGUGUGAGAGCACGACCCGCGCCACUGGCACUGAGACACUGGCCAGACACCUACGGGUGGCUGCAGUCGAGGAUCUUCGGCAAUGGGCGCAAGCCUGACCGAGCGACGCCGCGUGUGCGAUGAAGGCCUUCGGGUUGUAAAGCACUGUCGAGAGGGAGAAAAGCGAAAGCUUGAUCUAUCUCUGGAGGAAGCACGGGCUAAGUUCGUGCCAGCAGCCGCGGUAACAC